rnacentral:rRNA from 1 species
AGCAGCCGCGGUAAUUCCAGCUCCAAUAGCGUAUAUUAAAGUUGUUGCAGUUAAAAAGCUCGUAGUUGAAUUUCGGGAUCGAUACGUCGGUCGUGCCUUCGGUACGUACUGUCGUCAUCGAUUUCUCCCUUCUGACGAACCAUGAUGUCAUUAAUUUGGUGUUAUGGGAAAUCAGGACUGUUACUUUGAAAAAAUUAGAGUGUUUAAAGCAGGCAUUAGCUUGAAUACAUUAGCAUGGAAUAAUGAAAUAGGACGUUCGAACCUAUUUUGUUGGUUUUUAGGAUUCAACGUAAUGAUUAAUAGGGAUAGUUGGGGGCAUUAGUAUUCAAUUGUCAGAGGUGAAAUUCUUGGAUUUAUUGAAGACUUAACUACUGCGAAAGCAUUUG